rnacentral:rRNA from 1 species
ACGCACGCUGGCGGCGUGCUUAACACAUGCAAGUCGAACGAUGACGACCGAGCUUGCUCGGUCUGAUUAGUGGCGAACGGGUGAGUAACACGUGAGCAACCUGCCCUUCACUCUGGGAUAACCUCGGGAAAUCGGGGCUAAUACCGGAUAUGAGCUCCUGUCGCAUGGCGGGUGUUGGAAAGUUUUUCGGUGAAGGAUGGGCUCGCGGCCUAUCAGUUUGUUGGUGAGGUAGUGGCUCACCAAGGCGAUGACGGGUAGCCGGCCUGAGAGGGCGACCGGCCACACUGGGACUGAGACACGGCCCAGACUCCUACGGGAGGCAGCAGUGGGGAAUAUUGCACAAUGGGCGAAAGCCUGAUGCAGCGACGCCGCGUGAGGGAUGACGGCCUUCGGGUUGUAAACCUCUUUCAGCAGGGAAGAAGCGAAAGUGACGGUACCUGCAGAAGAAGCGCCGGCUAACUACGUG